AAGCGCUUGUGACCAGACUUGCGUCCGGUGAAUCACCCAGCUCUCGCGGCUGGGGCACUUCGCCGGCACAGGCCAGCAUCAGCUUGCCGUCGGGGACAAAAGCUUCAGGAACGUAGCUCCUCCGGGAGUGUUAUAGCCCUCGGUGCAAUGCCCCCGCGGGGACCGAGGACCGCGCUUCGGCAAGGAUGCUGGCGUAAUGGUCAUCAGCGA
rnacentral:rRNA from 1 species